rnacentral:rRNA from 1 species
CCUCAAAUCAGGUAGGACUACCCGCUGAACUUAAGCAUAUCAAUAAGCGGAGGAAAAGAAACUAACAAGGAUUCCCCUAGUAGCGGCGAGUGAAGCGGGAAGAGCUCAAAUUUAAAAUCUGGCGGUCUCAGGCCGUCCGAGUUGUAAUCUAGAGAGGUGUUUUCUGUGCCGGACCGCGUACAAGUCCCUUGGAACAGGGCGUCAUAGAGGGUGAUAAUCCCGUCCAUGACACGGACUACCGGUGCUCUGUGAUACACCUUCAAAGAGUCGAGUUGUAUGGAAAUGCAGCUCAAAAUGGGUGGUAAAUUCCAUCUAAAGCUAAAUACAGGCGAGAGACCGAUAGCGAACAAGUACCGUGAGGGAAAGAUGAAAAGAACUUUGGAAAGAGAGUUAAACAGUACGUGAAAUUGUUGAAAGGGAAACGCUUGAAGUCAGUCGCGUCCGCCGGGAUUCAGCCUUGCUUUUGCUUGGUGCACUUCUCGGUAGAUGGGCCAGCAUCAAUUUUGGUCGUCGGAAAAGGGCGGGAGGAAUGUGGCAGCUUGCUGUGUUAUAGCCUCUCGUCGUCGUACACGAUGGCCGGGAUUGAGGAAUGCAGCACGCCUUUGGUCGGGGUUCGCCCACGCCACGUGCUUAGG